UUUUUUUUUUUUUUCACUUUUUUUAGGGCUGCACCUGCGGCACAUGGAAGUUCCCAGGCUAGGGGUCGAAUCAGAGCUGCAGCUGCUGGCCUAUACCACAGCCACAGCAAUGUGGGAUCCGAGCUACAUCUGCAACCUACACCAAAGCUCUGGGCAACACCUAACCCAGUGAGUGAGGCCAGGGAUCGAACACACAUCCUGAUGGAUACUAGUUGGGUUCAUUUCCGCUGAGUCAGAACGGGAUCUCUUCUGAUGGCACAUUUAAAACCCUCUCCUGUGUGUCUUUGCAGAACCUGCACCAUUCAGGCUAGACCUGGGAGGAGACGUCUGGACAGGGGUCAGUAGUAGGUAACAUAGGCAGGGCCACAAACCUUCCUUACGCAGCAGGAAGACCUCACCCCACCCCAGCUCUCAGGCUUCUGAAUAGGCCCUGGGAUCCAUUUAAGGAGACUGACAUGCCUUCAAGGAACCACCCCCACCCCUGCUGGAUGGCACAAAAUUAGAGUUUUCCCACAAAAGGCGUCCAGGCUCUGAGGGCAUGUUCCUGUCUGCCUGCCUCUCCUUUCUGGACCCAGCCAAACCUUCUCAGAGAUGUGCAGAGUCUAACUGCCUCCCCCCCUUUCCUGCCUCCUCGUGUAGUGCAAUUCAGAUCAGGCAAAUUCCAGAGCUACCCAGCCCAGCAGCUUGGCAGCAGCUAGGUUGGGACCGCAUGGUUGCUAAAAAUGGCUGUUUCGCCCAUCCCGGCUGAAAGAGACACAGGCUGACAUUCUUGUCAUAGUUGGAAGUGGUCCAGGGCUGACUUUCUCCGCAGCUGCUUUCCGCGGCAGCCCCCCGGCUCCACCCAGGCCUGGGCGAAUUCCUCACACCAAAAUCGAGAGCAGUAUCUGCUGCAGACAGGAGCAGCGGUGGGGGCCUGGGGGCUGACAGCCGUGGCAGCAGCCCCGCAGCCCACGGGGAAGGGGGUCUGGUGUGGGGUAUGAAUUCCACCCUCACCAAGUGACCGUCACAUCACCCUGGCUGCCCAGAUGGGGAGCCUGAGACCCAGAGGGUUAGUGGCCUUUGGCACCUCAUUCACUCCAGUCCCUGCACGUCUGAGGCCAGGAUGCAAUUUUUUCCAUGUGGAAACAUUUUCAUCCUGAGAGAAGCACAUUAGUCAAUGCGAUGUCUGCCCUUCCUCACUGAGGGUGGGUCCUUGUGCCUCCCUUGGAGUCUCGGCUGCUCCCUCUCCAAGCCUGUGGUGCCCUCUGAGGCUGCACACAACAGCCAUGCAUUGGCCACCUGGUGCACAGUUUCCUCCUCAAAAACGUUCAGGCCACCCCGGGAGAAGCUUAACUGCCCUGAGGCCACCAUGCUGGGAGGAAGCUCAGAGCACUCAGAGGGGCCCCAGUCAGCAGCCCCUGGGCUGGCCCAGGCCUGGAUCUGUGAGAGAAACACAUCCGGGUGACCCAGCCCCCAUCUGCCCAGCCAUCCCAUGGGGUGGAUCUUCCCCCAGAGCCAACCUGAACUCCUGGCCUCCGAAUGCAUGCAUGCGGUGAAAUAGGGCUUGUUUUAUGCCACUAAGUGUCAAGUAGAUGGUGAUUCAGCAUCAGGUCGCUGGAAUUGUGAGUGUCUGGGUUCCAGCAGGCACGACACACCCUCCCACACUCUCGGCAGCUGAGCCUGAGUACGUGGUUCAUAAGGAACAGCCAGGAUCAAGAUUCUGCACCCGCCCUGCAAAGCGGCCACAGUCAAGAAAAUGGGUAAACAUUAAAGUUCAAGAUGCAUAGCUCUUCAGAGCUACACUGUUCCCAAACCAAACUAGGGGCAGCUCGAAGUUAAGCCAAUCUAUUGACACCAGGUUGUGGGGAAGGAAAAAGUGAAGCAUUUCUAUGUCCAGGGCAGCCCGUGCUCAAAAGACCUGAACUCCCCAAUGGGUUUCAGCAAAGCAUCUACCUGGAGAAAACCAUAAGUCAAAAAGGUACAUACACCGCAGUGUUCAUUGCAGGCCUGGUACAACAGCUGAGACAUGGAAGCAACCAAGAUGUCCAUCAUCAAAGGAUUGGAUAAAGAAGAUGUGGUGUGUUUAUACAAAGGAAUACUACCCAGCCGUAAAAAGCUUGAAAUAGUGCUACUUGCAGCAACAUGGAUGGACCUAGAAAUUGUCAUACUAAGUCAGACAGAGAAAGACAAGUAUCAUAUGAAGUCACUAAUAUGUGGAACCUAAUAGAAAUGAUACAAUAGAACUUACAAAAGAGAAACAGACGGAAAGAUUUUUGAAACCAAACUUAUGUUUACCAAAGGGGAUAAAUUGGGGGGUGGGACUAAUAUAUACACACGACUAUACAUGGAAUAGAUGGGUAAUGGGUGGGGACUGGCUAUACAGCGUGGGAAAUUUACUCAGAACUGUGUGGCCACCUACAUGGGAAAAGAAUCUGAAAAGGAAUGGAUAUAUGUACAUGUAUAACUGAUUUACUUUGCUGUAUGCCUGAAAUUAACACAACUUUAUAAGCCAACUAUAUUCCAAUAAAUUUUUUUUUAGAAAAGAUGGGGGAGUUCCCGUUGUGGCACAGCAGAAAAGAAUCCAACUAGUAACCAUGAGGUUGCGGGUUCAAUUCCCGGCCUCGCUCAGUGGAUUAAGGAUCCAGCAUAGCCAUGAGCUGUGGUGUAGGUGGCAGAUGUGGCUCCGAUCCUGCGUUUCUGUGGCUGUGGUGUAGGCCAGCAGCUGUAGCUCUGUUUUGACCCUCAGCCUGGGAACCUCCAUAUGCAGCAGGUGCAGCCCUAAGAAGCAAAAAAAUAUAUAUAUACAAAAUCAAAAUCAAAAAAGAUGGGGAAAAGCCCACAAAUAAUCUGUCACCUACCAGAACCCCUGCCUUGAGUACAAUGAGAAAUGCACCCUCAUACCACACUCCUGUAGCCAGCGAGGCAAGGCCUCAGACCAGUUAGCAAGUCCACCUGCCUGAACCCCAGCCCUGCCCUGACACAGCUGAGAUGGGGCCACAGAUGCCAUUAUGCCAGAACUGGCAGCAGGCCCAGGGUAGGAGAGGGGCAGUUGGAAAAUGGGGGUGCCCAGAGUACAGGCCCUCCCAGAGCUGCUAUGAACAUUGUGAAGCGGGAAAUAAUUUUCAGUUCAAACCCUGCCACCCAGGGAAAAGGACUGCAGUCAAGCUGCCUUUCCCAGGGCCAUCACAAUGCUGUCUGCAGGCAGCUGGGCUGUUUGCAGGCUUGGGCCUGGGCUUGGCUCCUAGGCAGAUUUCAGAGGCUUAUCAAGAGACCAGGCAGGGCUGUGGCCGUGCAGCCUGAGGCAGGGGCUGGGGCCCAGGGGCAGCUGGGACCCAGGGCUGCAGGCGUUCCCUCCCCCCACUGUCUCAGGCCAGGGGCGCACCUGAGCUCCACGCUUUGAUGUCCUGUCUCUGCAGACAAGCCCUCCCAGCUCUCAGAGAGACUGUUAGAAGUGAUUCUUAUUUUGCCUUUUAUCAGAGACCAGAGGAAAGAGUUGAAAGCAGGAGUCAGGGGUUUUCAAAAGAACACGCAAGACUAGGGAGGGGAGGGAAGGCAGCCUCAAGCCUUGAAAGGAAACAGACAAACAAGGACAGUCUGCCCAGCUCUAGAAGCCACGUGUUCCUGGCCCAUGAUGUGGGGCUUGGGGGAGUCCUCGAAAAAGCUGCUGCGUUCUCAGCUCUUGCCAGCACAGCACUGGGGGGUUUGCUUUAGGCUUGGGUUGUGGUUUCGUUUGGAUCCUUUUCAAAAUCUAAUUAUCAGAACCAAAGGGCCAGGGCCAGGUGCCCUUGGGCAAAUCCCAGGGGAUGGAGCCGCCCACUGUUACUCUGCGUCUUCUUUUCCUCCAGAUUUCCCAGUGUGUGCACACUUUUGGGCAUCUCAUGCCAGUCAGUUGCCUUCAGAUGAAUGAAAGCACAAAAUGAGGUAGAAGGCCAGGUGUAGAACAAUCCCCAGCAGAGCCUGGCCUGGUGACCAGGCAGGACUGGGGUCCCAUCUCAGUCAGUGCCGUUUCUCAGGUAGAGGACACCCACCCCACCCCCAGGCCAGGGAAACCCCAUGCUCGCUGAACCAGCCACUUCUCCUGUGUUAUUUGCCAAGAAGCUGCCUUUCUGCCCUGCUUUGCUAAGAAGGAGACAUCUCAGCAGCCACCGGGGUCCUGGCCAAGGCCCUGGGCCCACAGACACUGGCCUGCCAAAGUCGACAAAUGUGAGGAUGACGCGGAGCUCUGGGGAUGGAGCUGUGGCCUGAUACCCACACGGGGGGCAACAGGAAGCCAGGUUGCUGGGGAGAUGGAGCAAUGACCUCAUCCUGCCCUGAGGGGGUCUAAAGGACACCUCUGCCAGCAGCCUAGAUGCCUCAUUUGACUGUGAUAAAAUACGCCUAACGUAACAUUUACCGUCUUAACCAUUUUUCGCUGGACGGUUCAGUGGCACUAGGUACAUUCAUUUUGUUGUGCAACCAUCACCAGCAUCUAGCUCCAGAACUUUUCAUCUUCCCAAACUGAAACUCUGUCCCCGAUAAGCACUAACCAUCCCUUCUCCCCUCCCUCCAGGUCUUGGCAACCACUAUUCUACUCUCUGUGUCUAUACAUCUGACUGUUCUAAGGACCUCAUAUAGGUGGAUUCACACAAUAUGUAUCCUUUUGUGAUGGGCUUAUCUCACUAAACAGAACGUCCUCUAGGUUCAUCCAGGUUGCAGCAUGUGUCAGAACGUCCUUCCUUUUUAUGGCUGAAUAAUAUUCCAUUGUGCUUUGGGGUUUGUUUUUUAGUUUUUGUUCUUUUGGUCUUUUUAGGGCUGCACCCAUGGCAUAUGGAAGUUCCCCAGCUAGGGGUCAAAUCGGAGCUGUAGCUGCUGGCCACAGACAUAGCCACAGCAAUGCCAGAUCCGAGCUGUGUCUGUGACCUACACCACAGGUCAUGGCAACGCCAGAUCCUUAACCCACGAGCAGGCCCAGGGAUCAAACCUGCAUCCUCAUGGAUACUAGUCAGAUUCAUUUCCGCUGAGCCACAACAGGAACUCUCCAUUGUACAUUGCUUUAAAUGUACCUGGGAUAUGUUCUACUCAGGUGUGGCAAGACACACAGACACGGAAAUGCUUGUCAUGAAGGAAGAAGUUUUUAUACUCACAGAUCCCUAGAAGCAGGAGGCAGAGCAGGCCAUGCAGGGCCACAUAGGGAAGCACCAGUGUCACUGGACACAGUGGGAAAGAAAUUUUUGACUGUGAUUUCUGCAAGAGGAAGCAGAAGAGGCAGAGCAAGCAGGCUUGGGACCAGCCAGGUUGAAUAACUUCAGCAGACUCUGGUGCAUAGGAGCUGUCUCUAGUUACCUGGUACCUGGAACCAGGGUGAUUAGAGCAGGUGGAUAAUAACCGAGUAUGUGAGCCAGAUAGAUAAGGCGGGUGAGUUGUGGGCUCCAGGUGGGUUGGUUUACCUAUGACACAUGGGCUCACAAGGAAGUCUUUUACUAUCCUCAGGCAUUGGCUAGCUCUGGGAGGGACAGUCUCUCCAGGAUUAGCAAGGCCCAAGAUGUCAAAGCAUAAGAAAUAAAACAAAUAAGCAUGGUUAAUACCCACGUAUAUACCACAAACUUUUCUGUCCAUUCAUCUAUUCAGAGAUACUGGAUUGGUUCCACCUUGGGGCUAUUGUGAAUAAAGCUACUGUGAACAUGAGCAAACAAGUGUCUAUUUGAGUUCCAGGCAGCCUGGUUUUUUUUUUUUUUUUUGUCGUCUUUUUGCCUUCUAGGGCCGCUCCUGCGGCGUAUGGAGGUUCCCAGGCUAGGGGUCUAAUUGGAGCUAUAGCCACUGGCCUACACCACAGCCACAGCAACACAGGAUCUGAGCCGUGUCUGCAACCUACACCACAGCUCAUGGCUAUGCUGAAGCCUUAAUCCACUGAGCGAGGCCAGGAAUUGAACCCGCAACCUCAUGGUUACUAGUCGGAUUAGUUAACCACUGUGCCACGAUGGGAGCUCCCAGCCUAGAUAUUUUUAAAGUGCAAUUGGAACCUAAUUCUUUUUUCAGAAAUGAGGAGAAACUUGGACCCCAAAAUCAGGGGUUGGAACACAAAACAAUCCCAACUAGAUGAAUAGGUUUAGAGCUAAGCCUUCACGCAGCCCAUUACUUAACAUCCUUGACCAAGACAAGGGUCAGCAUUCCUCUAACAUUUAUUAUCUCCCAGCCGUCUUCUCUCUCCUGCAGCAGAAAAUGACCUGCGCCCAGUGGCACAGCUCUGCCCAGAGCCCUUCGCCAACACAUACAAGGAUUCAGAUUUAUGGAGCGUCUGUGACCUGGAUGGAUGCCUGGGUCACGGUCGUGACUGCAGACUGGACAGCCUCCUUCCCAUCCAUGCACUGGAUGGGAAACAUCACAGAGAGCCUUCGCUCACAUCCACCGGGAGUCUUUCCUUCACACUGCAGCCCUCGCCCUUGGCAGCAAGAGGAGUAACUAAGCGGCCUGAGACCACAAAGCCCCAUCCAUCUCCACAGUCACAUGGGAGCAGGCCCAGACACUGGAGUCCCUUUGAAGGCCAGGUUCCUGAUUUGCUCUCCUCAAGACACCACUAACCAUUCACUUGCCUCCAAUGAAGAUCGUGUCAGACACCAAGGGGGGAGCGGGAGGCAGGGGAGGAGGCCAACAC
rnacentral:lncRNA from 1 species